GUUGACGGCUUUAAAUCACUGACACAUUGUACAACGUAUCUAGACAAUCAUCUAUAGUAACGUAUAUAUGCUUUUUGACAUGAUUUUAAAAGAGUAUCAAAAUGAUACAGACUUAGACAUGCUUUCAAACGUGAAUAGCAUGUAGACACAUCAUAAAGCAUAUGAAAUAACCUUCCAUAUAGACAUGUAAAGCGUAUCACAACCUUCAUACUUUUACAUCACCUAAGGUUUCUAACUAAUACCAUAUUGCAUGCUGGAGAAAAUAUGAACACAUGCUGAAGAAAAUAUGCACGUAAUAUAAAUGUACCUACAUGAUCGUCUCUGUAAUACUUACUCCCUCCAUCCCAUGAAAAGUGUAAUUCUAGUAUUUGAAAAAAAUUCGUAUAAAAGAGUACAAUCCCAGGAAUUGGAUCUAAC
rnacentral:lncRNA from 1 species